rnacentral:rRNA from 1 species
UACGGAGGGGGCUAGCGUUGUUCGGAAUUACUGGGCGUAAAGCGCACGUAGGCGGCUUUUUAAGUCAGAGGUGAAAGCCCGGAGCUCAACUCCGGAAUUGCCUUUGAGACUGGAUGGCUUGAAUCACGGAGAGGUGGGUGGAAUUCCGAGUGUAGAGGUGAAAUUCGUAGAUAUUCGGAAGAACACCAGUGGCGAAGGCGACUCACUGGACACAUAUUGACGCUGAGGUGCGAAAGCGUGGGGAGCAAACAGG